rnacentral:sRNA from 1 species
ACGAACGCACUUGUGACGUGCCAAAUUC